AUCAACUUUCGAUGGUAGGAUAGAGGCNUACCAUGGUGGUAACGGGUAACGGGGUGUUAGGGCACGACACCGGAGAGGGAGCNUGAGAAACGGCUACCACAUCCAAGGAUGGCAGCAGGCGCGCAAAUUACCCAAUCCCGACAUGGGGAGGUAGUGACAAUAAAUAACAAUACAGGGUUCUUUUGGAUCUUGUAAUUGGAAUGAGUACAAUUUAAAUCUCUCAACGAGGAACAAUUGGAGGGCAAGUCUGGUGCCAGCAGCCGCGGUAAUUCCAGCUCCAAUAGCGUAUAUUAAAGUUGUUGCAGUUAAAAAGCUCGUAGUUGAAUUUCGGGAUUGACACAUCGGUCGUGCCUUAAGGGGUAUGAACUGGUGUAGUCAAUUUCUCACCUUCUGGAGAACCGCGAUGCCCUUAAUUGGGUGUCGCGGGGAUCCAGGACCUUUACUUUGAAAAAAUUAGAGUGUUUAAAGCAGGCAUUUUGCUUGAAUACAUUAGCAUGGAAUAAUAAAAUAGGACGGCAUGAUUCUAUUUUGUUGGUUUCUAGGAUCACCGUAAUGAUUAAUAGGGAUAGUUGGGGGCAUUAGUAUUCAAUUGUCAGAGGUGAAAUUCUUGGAUUUAUUGAAGACUAACUACUGCGAAAGCAUUUGCCAAGGAUGUUUUCAUUAAUCAAGAACGAAAGUUAGGGGAUCGAAGACGAUCAGAUACCGUCGUAGUCUUAACCAUAAACUAUGCCGACUAGGAAUCAGACGAUGUUAAUUUUUUAAUGACUCGUUUGGCACCUUACGGGAAACCAAAGUGUUUGGG
rnacentral:rRNA from 1 species